CCUACGGGUGGCAGCAGUGAGGAAUAUUGGUCAAUGGGCGCAAGCCUGAACCAGCCAUGCCGCGUGCAGGAUGAAGAUCUAUGGUGUGUAAACUGCUUUUAUACGGGAAGCGGUACCGUAAGAAUAAGGACCGGCUAACUCCGUGCCAGCAGCCGCGGUAAUACGGAGGGUCCAAGCGUUAUCCGGAAUCAUUGGGUUUAAAGGGUCCGUAGGCGGCCCUGUAAGUCAGUGGUGAAAUCUCCCGGCUCAACCGGGAAAUUGCCAUUGAUACUGCAGGGCUUGAAUUAUUGGGAAGUAACUAGAAUAUGUAGUGUAGCGGUGAAAUGCUUAGAUAUUACAUGGAAUACCGAUUGCGAAGGCAGGUUACUACCAAUAAUUGACGCUGAUGGACGAAAGCGUGGGUAGCGAACAGGAUUAGAUACCCUGGUAGUC
rnacentral:rRNA from 1 species